rnacentral:rRNA from 1 species
UACGUGAGUGGCGAGCGUUAUCCGGAUUUACUGGGCAUAAAGGGCAUGCAGGUGGCAUUUUAAGUCAGAUGUUAAAUCUCACAGCUCAACUGUGAGUCGCAUCUGAUACUGAUUUGCUAGAGAUCAGGAGAGGAAAGCGGAACUUACGGUGUAGCGGUGAAAUGCGUAGAUAUCGUAAGGAACACCAGUGGCGAAGGCGGCUUUCUGGACUGAAUCUGACGCUGAGAUGCGAAAGCGUGGGGAGCAAACAGG